rnacentral:rRNA from 1 species
AACAAACGCUGGCGGCGUGCCUAAUACAUGCAAGUCGAACGGGGAAAGCUUUCGGGUGAGUACUAGUGGCGCACGGGUGAGGAACGCGUGGAUAAUCUGCCUUAGAGUGGGGGAUAACUAGUCGAAAGAUUAGCUAAUACCGCAUAAGACCACAGGAGCUGCGGCUCAAGGGGUCAAAGGUUUUUCGCUCUAAGAUGAGUCCGCGUAAGAUUAGCUAGUUGGUAAGGUAACGGCUCACCAAGGCGACGAUCUUUAACUGGUCUGAGAGGAUGAUCAGUCACACUGGAACUGAGACGCGGUCCAGACUCCUACGGGAGGCAGCAGUAGGGAAUAUUGCACAAUGGAGGAAACUCUGAUGCAGCGACGCCGCGUGAGUGAUGAAGGCCUUCGGGUCGUAAAGCUCUGUCGCAGGGGAAUAACACAAUGAAGGUACCCUGUAAGAAAGGAUCGGCUAACUUCGUGCCAGCAGCCGCCGUAAAAC